UACGUAGGCAGCAAGCGUUGUUCGGAGUUACUGGGCGUAAAGGGUGUGUAGGCGGUUCUCUAAGUUUGGUGUGAAAUCUCCCGGCUCAACUGGGAGGGUGCGCCGAAAACUGGAGGACUAGAGUGCGGGAUGGGAGAGUGGAAUUCCUGGUGUAGCGGUGAAAUGCGUAGAUAUCAGGAGGAACACCUGUGGUGUAGACGGCUCUCUGGACCGCAACUGACGCUGAGACACGAAAGCGUGGGUAGCAAACAGG
rnacentral:rRNA from 1 species